GGUGCAGCCCCAUGCUGCUGCCCAGCUUGAGGGGCUGGGAUUCAGGGUGAUGCUCACUAGCAUUCAUGGCCCCACAUCUUCCUGCUAUGCAUUUAGCUUUGUUGUUUUUUACCCUGACCUUUGCAUUUUAAAGAAACUCCCUCCCGGGUUGCAAUCUGAAGCUUUUAGGGCUGUUGUGGUGCCGUGGAAGUGCAAGCACUUUGUGCUAAGCGAGUCUUAAAAAACUAAACGCCAGAGCAGCCAACUCUUAUUUUUCCAUCCUGCUAAUUUUCAUCCUAGUAAAAAAAUUGGACCAAAUAUAGCCUUGGUUUAUUUUUUUAAAAGCAGAUGGUAAGAUGCUAAACACUGUUUGUGGAAACAGCAAGUCAAAACAUCUUCCUAUGGCUGCAAUGAGCAGAGGAGCUGCCAUGGGAAGUUUUUGCCAUAGUCUCAUCACUGCUCUCUGACCAUGGUGGAGCAUCAUCUGUAGCUUGAAACUGCUGUCUCAGUUCUCCCUUCUUCUUAAAUCCUGAAAUCCUCUUUUAGAAUACAGCACAUGUGGUUUCUUUCCCCUCCACCCCCACCUCUUCUUAUCGGGUGUUUUCCCACUGUGUCUCUGGGUGAACACCUCCCCAGACUCUCCCUGGACUUUCAAUCCUUCUCCAGCAAUUGCAUGGUGGCAAGGAAACGUGGCUUGGGAUCGGGAUCGUGUGGUUGGUGAAACCCUAACAUGUGUGAUACCUGCCUGUCCUCAGCCUGGGGUCAGACAUCUGCAUCCUGUUCU